ACCAAAAGCAUACUUGAAGCUGAGUAUUUCAUCACAUACUCCUACACAGCGGAAAUCCUGCCAAGGAGAGCCCACGUAACUGCAAGACUGAAUGCCUGUACCGAUAGGGUUAAGGAGCCUUACCCAGGGGAACAACAGAGGCGCCUGGGACUCGAACCAACAACCAUCUAAACAGUAAAGCAGAGACGCAGCCCACUGACCAACACAAUGCAUGAGUUAAAUGAAAGCAUCAUGGAUGCCUGCCUCGCGCGCGCUGCUUUGGGAUGCGCUCUGGGCUCGGAUUCUCGCGCACGCGCUUAUCAGAACCUGCUGGGGCCGACCACGUGACUGCCAGCAAACAGCGAGUACGUCACACCUCAUCUGGUUGUGAGGAAGAGCAGCGCGAGCGCAGGCCGGAGAAAGAGCGCUCGCGACCAAAUCCUGUACCUUGUGAUUGUGUGAGGUCAUAUUAUUAGAUGUGCCAGCUCUACAAGAUCAAUAUCUAUUAUAUAUUUAUUUCAAGUGUAAUCAUAUAGGAAUAGGUAGUUAUUGUAAGUCAAAUAUAAUAAGAACAACGAUAAUCGGAAUAAGAAUAAGAAUAUCGGUGUACACCUGGCUGGUGGCCUGCGUUUUCCCACAAAGUUACAAAAAUACUGCCCUCUUGUGGUCAGUCACAUGCAGUGCAUUAAAACAAGCUGUAGAUUUGCAAAUCAGUAAGUAAAUAAAAAUAAACUUU